AAACCAGCACCUCAAGUGGUCAGGAGGAUUAUUGGGCCUAAAGCAUCCGUAGCCUGUUCUGUAAGUUUUCGGUUAAAUCCAUUAGCUCAACUAAUGGGCCGCCGAAAAUACUGCAUAACUAGGGAGUGGGAGAGGUAGACGGUACUCGGUAGGAAGGGGUAAAAUCCUUUGAUCUAUUGAUGACCACCUGUGGCGAAGGCGGUCUACCAGAACACGUUCGACGGUGAGGGAUGAAAGCUGGGGGAGCAAACCGGAUUAGAAACCCGGGUAGUCC
rnacentral:rRNA from 1 species